rnacentral:rRNA from 1 species
GGUUAAAUAUUAGGGCACAUAGGGAAUGCCUAGGAGUAAGACCGAUAAGGACGUGGUAAGCUGCGAUAAGCUCAGGGUAGUUGCAAUCGAACGUUUGAUCCUGAGAUUUCCGAAUGGAGCAAUCCGCUAAGUUGAAGACUUAGCACGAAAGAGGGUACCGCGUGAACUGAAACAUCUAAGUAACGCGAGGAAAAGAAAGUAAAAACGAUUCCCCAAGUAGCGGCGAGCGAACGGGGAUGAGCCCAAACCGCAUAAAUGUCAAGGAUGCAGCCGUUGUUUAUGCGGGGUUGUGGGAAGAACUAUGAGGAACUGCAACGUACUCAACAAUGUUAAUGACUGAACUGGAACUAGUUGGAAAGCUAGAUCGUAGAAGGUGAUAAUCCUGUACAGGUAAACUCAUUAACUUGUCCGUUCUCUCCCAAGUAACAUGGAACACGAGGAAUUCUGUGUGAAUCUGCGAGGACCAUAUCUCCUAAGGCUAAAUACUCU